ensembl:misc_RNA 7SK 7SK RNA
GUGUAGGAGGGACAUCUGUCACCCCAUUGAUCGCCAGGGUUGAUUCGGCUGAUCUGGCUGGCUAGGCAGGUGUCCCCUUCCUCCCUCACCCCUCCAUGUGCAUCCCUCCCGAAGCUGCGCACUUGGUCAAAGAGGACGACCUUCCCCCGAUAGAGGAGAGGACCAUUCUUCGGUCAAGGAUAUACGAGUAGCUGCGCUCCCCUGCUAGAACCUCCAAACAAGCUCCAUGUACACUUUUGAAAAAGGUAUAUUUUUCUGUCGUGGGAUGUAGUACUCUGUAAGUGUCAGAUAGGUCAU